rnacentral:rRNA from 1 species
CACCCUACGGGACGCAGCAGUGAGGAAUAUUGGUCAAUGGGCGCGAGCCUGAACCAGCCAAGUCGCGUGAGGGAAGACGGUCCUAUGGAUUGUAAACCUCUUUUGUCGGGGAGCAAAAGACGCCACGCGUGGCGUUCCGAGAGUACCCGAAGAAAAAGCAUCGGCUAACUCCGUGCCAGCAGCCGCGGUAAUACGGGGGAUCCGAGCUUUAUCCGGAUUUAUUGGGUUUAAAGGGGGCGUAGAU